GGGGAUCGCAAGACCUUGCGCUAWAGGAGCGGCCGAUGUCAGAUUAGCUAGUUGGUGGGGUAAAGGCUCACCAAGGCGACGAUCAGUAGNUGGUCUGAGAGGANGACCAGCCACACUGGGACUGAGACACGGCCCAGACUCCUACGGGAGGCAGCAGUGGGGAAUUUUGGACAAUGGGCGCAAGCCUGAUCCAGCMAUGCCGCGUGAGUGAAGAAGGCCUUCGGGUUGUAAAGCUCUUUCAGUCGAGAAGAAAAGGCUGUGACUAAUAAUCAUAGCUCAUGACGGUAUCGACAGAAGAAGCACCGGCUAACUACGUGCCAGCAGCCGCGGUAAUACGUAGGGUGCGAGCGUUAAUCGGAAUUACUGGGCGUAAAGGGUGCGCAGGCGGUUUUGUAAGUCAGAUGUGAAAUCCCCGGGCUUAACCUGGGAACUGCGUUUGAAA
rnacentral:rRNA from 1 species